UACGAAGGGGGCUAGCGUUGCUCGGAAUCACUGGGCGUAAAGCGCACGUAGGCGGCUUUUUAAGUCAGGGGUGAAAUCCUGGAGCUCAACUCCAGAACUGCCUUUGAUACUGGGAAGCUCGAGUCCGGGAGAGGUGAGUGGAAUUCCUGGUGUAGCGGUGAAAUGCGUAGAUAUCUGGAGGAACACCGGUGGCGAAGGCGGCAUCCUGGACCGGCAUUGACGCUGAGGCGCGAAAGCCAGGGGAGCAAACGGG
rnacentral:rRNA from 1 species